rnacentral:rRNA from 1 species
GACGAGGGGUCCUAGCGUUGCUCGGAAUCAUUGGGCGUAAAGCGUAUGUAGGCGGCUUAAAAAGUCAGAUGUGAAAUCCCUGGGCUUAACCCAGGACGUGCAUUUGAAACUGCUAAGCUUGAGUAUGGGAGAGGAUAGUGGAAUUCCUGGUGUAGUGGUGAAAUACGUAGAUAUCAGGAGGAACACCGGUGGCGAAGGCGGCUAUCUGGCCUAAUACUGACGCUGAGAUACGAAAGCGUGGGGAUCAAACAGG